rnacentral:rRNA from 1 species
CCAGGCUAAUACCGCAUACGUCCUACGGGAGAGAAGCAGGGGAUCUUCGGACCUUGCGCUAUCGGAUGAGCCUAUGUCGGAUUAGGCUUGGUUGGUGAGGUAAGAGGCUCACCAAGGCGAGCGAUCCGGUAGCUGGUCUGAGAGGAUGAUCAGCCACAUCGGGACUGAGACACGGCCCGAACGUCCUACGGGAGGCAGCAGUGGGGAAUAUUGGACAAUGGGCGAAAGCCUGAUCCAGCCAGUGCCGCGUGUGUGAAGAAGGCUUUCGGGUUGUAAAGCACUUGUCAGUGAGGAAGAAGGCCUUGGGGCUAAUGACCCCCGAGGAAGGACAUCACUCAGCAGAAGAAGCACGCGGCUAACUCCGGUGCCAGCAGCCGCGGUAAUACGGGAGGGUGCGAGCGUUAAUCGGAAUUACGUGGGCGUAAAGCGCGCGUAGGCGGCGUGAUAAGCCGGUUGUGAAAGCCCCGGGCUCAACCUGGGAACGGCAUCCGGAACUGUCAGGCUAGAGUGCGAGGAGAGGAAGGUAGAAGUUCCCGGUGUAGCGGUGAAGAUGCGUAGAGAUCGGGAGGAAUACCAGUGGCGAAGGCGGCCUUCUGGACUGACACUGACGCUGAGGUGCGAAAGCGUGGGUAGCAAACAGGAUUAGAUACCCUGGUAGUCCACGCCGUAUACGAUGUCGACUAGCCGUUGGGGUCCUUGA